GACGAACGCUGGCGGCGUGCUUAACACAUGCAAGUCGAGCGGUAAGGCCCUUUCGGGGGUACACGAGCGGCGAACGGGUGAGUAACACGUGGGUGACCUGCCCUCAGCUCUGGGAUAAGCCUGGGAAACCGGGUCUAAUACCGGAUAUGACUCCAUGACGCAUGUUGUGGGGUGGAAAGCCUUGUGCGGCUGAGGAUGGGCCCGCGGCCUAUCAGCUUGUUGGUGGGGUGAUGGCCUACCAAGGCGACGACGGGUAGCCGGCCUGAGAGGGCGACCGGCCACACUGGGACUGAGACACGGCCCAGACUCCUACGGGA
rnacentral:rRNA from 1 species